GGCGUUCUGCCCGCUUGAACACGGGGAGAGACUGAUGUCUCUGAGUCUCUCCCCGUGUUCAAGCGGGGAGAACGCCUGACAUUUCAGGCUAGAUUCUGGUGCUGCAGAUCAGUAGUCAUCAUGCAGAUAGCCUGCAUAGUAGGCGCUAUUUAGGGGGUAGGGCAAGGGUGGGAGAAGCUAGUGGGGGGAUGCGAAGGCGAGAGAAAGAGCGAGAAAAAAUGGGAGGGGCAAGAAAGAAAUAGCUAUUUCUUUCUCGCCCCUCCCAUUUUUCCUCGCUCUCUUUCUCUCGCCUUCGCACCCCCCCCCUAGCUUCUCCCACCCUCCCCCUCCCCAUUAAAUAGCGCCUGCUACGCAGGCUAUCCAUGCAGAUGCUGCAGCUUUUCAUGUAGGUGGCUC